rnacentral:rRNA from 1 species
CUUAUACAACUUUCAACAACGGAUCUCUUGGCUCUCGCAUCGAUGAAGAACGCAGCGAAAUGCGAUAACUAAUGUGAAUUGCAGAAUUCAGUGAAUCAUCGAGUCCUUGAACGCACCUUGCGCCCUUUGGUAUUCCAAAGGGCAUGCCUGUUUGAGUGUCAUUAA